AUGCAUACAUCUAAACAACCUUUUCUUAAAUCUAAGCAACCCUUUAGUAAAUCCAAGCAAACUUUUAAUAAAUCCAAGCAACCCUUUCGUAAAUCCAAACAAACUUUUCGUAAAUUCAAGCAACCUUUUCAUAAAUCUAAACAACCUUUUCGUAGGCGUCCCCGGAUUGGCCCGGGAGAUCGAAUUGAUUAUAGAAACAUGAGUUUAAUUAAUAGAUUUAUUAAUGAACAAGGAAAAAUAUUAUCGAGACGAAUAAAUAGAUUAACCUUGAAACAACAAUGA
rnacentral:rRNA from 1 species